UUUAAAAUCUUUCAUAAUACAAACAUAAUUUUGAACAUUUUUAUUUUGAUUUAAAUGUAAUAAAUCAACGUAAUAAAGAAAUGUAUGCUUAGAAUAAAAUAACUUUACGUUUCUCUAGGUGAAUAGGAAAUAUGUUUUUUUUGUAGAAGUUAUUUGGAUAUUGCAGAAAUUCCGUAAGAUCAGGAUUUGGUAUACGUAAAACAGAAUUUUACCUUUUGGAUGCAUCCAACAAACGCCGACCUAACUGUUACCUUUGGGGAGACUGAUUCGAAAUUAGGGACGCCGCCAAGAUACAUGUUCUGAGGUAAAAACAAUUGAGUAAAUGCUCCAGGAGCCAAUGCUUCUACAGGAAAUUGGUUGUCGACAGUUAAGAUAGCUAAGCGGCCAGUCCGAGAUACUCGAAUCUAAAAAGCAAUACAUAUAUAGUUAUUUACACAAUUUAAUCCAAUCUCGUUUAUCAGAUUUUACAUCAAUAUUUAUAUGAAUAUGAUUAAUAUUUGUAUUUUAAACAAGCGUCAAAAGAAAAAUUGCAUUUACAAAUACCAAUAAAAAUAAUGGAUUAAU